UACGAAGGGGCUAGCGUUGCUCGGAAUUACUGGGCGUAAAGCGCACGUAGGCGGUCUUUUAAGUCGGGGGUGAAAUCCUGGAGCUCAACUCCAGAACUGCCUCGAUACUGGAAGACUCGAGUCCGGGAGAGGUGAGUGGAACUGCGAGUGUAGAGGUGAAAUUCGUAGAUAUUCGCAAGAACACCAGUGGCGAAGGCGGCUCACUGGCCCGGUACUGACGCUGAGGUGCGAAAGCGUGGGGAG
rnacentral:rRNA from 1 species